GGUCACAGCCCUUGUCCCAUCUGGCAGCUGCCAAGGCCACCACCAUAAAGAAGCCGGCGCGGAGACGCCAUCUUUUUACUCUGCUCUGCUGCGUAUUCAGCCCAAAAUUGUGCACUGCUGGAGGCCAAUGCGGCGCACGUUCAAAAGCUAUGAUGAGGCUGGAACGGGGCUGCUAAGCGUCGCGGAUUUCAGGACGGUCCUGAGACAGUACAGCAUCAACCUCUCUGAGGAAGAGUUCUUCCAUAUUCUGGAGUAUUACGAUAAGACGCUGUCUUCAAAAAUCUCCUACAACGACUUCCUCCGGGCAUUCCUCCAGUAGACACCCCUGCUGUGUGCCCAGCGGGACGAAAGCCACAGGGCCUGUUUCAAGACUAAUAAAAUCCUAUAAUUUG
rnacentral:sRNA from 1 species